rnacentral:tRNA from 2 species
GGGAAUUAGCUCAGUUGGCUAGAGCAUCUGCCUUGCACGCAGGAGGUCGCGGGUUCAAGUCCCACAUUCUCC